CAACAAUAGCAACAACAGCAGCAGCAGCAACAACAGCAACAGAAACAACAAUAGCAACAACAAUAACAACAACAAGAACAACAACAACAACAACAACAACAACAAUAACAAGAACAACAACAACAACAACAACAACAACAACAACAAUGACGACGACGAUGAAGACAAUGACGACAACGACGACAAUGACAACAACAACGACA
rnacentral:lncRNA from 1 species